rnacentral:rRNA from 1 species
GUUAAAAAGCUCGUAGUCGAAUCUGUGUCUUGCGCCGUCGGUUCAUCGCUCGCGGUGUUAACUGGCGCGUCGCAGGACGUCCUGCCGGACGGGCUUAGCCACGGCGUCGUCCUCCUCUCGCGUCUCGGGCACGUUUCGUCCCGUCGACGUCGUCGCGUCGCGUCGGGGGUGUACUCCUCUGGCACGUGCGCGUGCGGUCGUCUGGCGGGGUCAAAACGGUGCGUGUCGUCUGAGCGCGAGUGCGUCGACGUUCGGGGCGGUCCACCUUUUUUGAAACAAUCCCACCGCGGUGCUCUUCGCUGAGUGUCGAGGUGGGCCGGCACUUUUACUUUGAACAAAUUAGAGUGCUCAAAGCAGGCUAAAAACUCUGCCUGAAUACUUAGUGCAUGGAAUAAUGGAACAGGACCUCGGUUCUAUUUUGUUGGUUUUCGGAACU